AUACGUAGGUGACAAGCGUUAUCCGGAUUUACUGGGCGUAAAGGGCGUGUAGGCGGUCUUGCAAGUCAGAAGUGAAAUUCCUGAGCUCAACUCGGGCGCUGCUUCUGAAACUGCAGGACUUGAGUGCUGGAGGGGAUAGCGGAAUUCCUAGUGGAGCGGUAAAAUGCGCAGAUAUUAGGAAGAACACCGGUGGCGAAGGCGGCUGUCUGGACGGAAACGGACGCUGAGGCGGGAAAGCAGGGGGAGCAAAAAGGAUUAGAUGCCCUGGUGGUAGACGCCGUAAACGAUGAAUACUAGGUGUAGGGGGUAUCGACUCCCUCUGUGCCGGAGUUAACACAAUAAGUAUUCCGCCUGGGGAGUACGGCUGCAAGGUUGAAACUCAAAUUAAUUGACGGGG
rnacentral:rRNA from 1 species